rnacentral:rRNA from 1 species
AGUGAACGCUGGCGGCAGGCCUAAUACAUGCAAGUCGAACGGCAGCACAGCAGAGCUUGCUCUGUGGGUGGCGAGUGGCGGACGGGUGAGGAAUACAUGGGAAUCUGCCCAGUCGUGGGGGAUAACGUAGGGAAACUUACGCUAAUACCGCAUGCGCCCUUCGGGGGAAAGCCGGGGACCGUAAGGCCUGGCGCGAUUGGAUGAGCCCAUGUCGGAUUAGCUAGUUGGCGGGGUAAUGGCCCACCAAGGCGACGAUCCGUAGCUGGUCUGAGAGGAUGAUCAGCCAAACUGGAACUGAGACACGGUCCAGACUCCUACGGGAGUCAGCAGUAGGGAAUAUUGGACAAUGGGCGCAAGCCUGAUCCAGCCAUGCCGCGUGAGUGAAGAAGGCCCUCGGGUUGUAAAGCUCUUUUGUCCGGAAAGAAAAGCGCCGGGUUAAUACCCUGGUGUCCUGACGGUACCGGAAGAAUAAGCAUCGGCUAACUUCGUGCCAGCCGCCGCCGUAACAC